GAUGAACGCUGGCGGCGUGCCUAAUACAUGCAAGUCGAGCGCGAGAGUGAGGAGCUUGCUCCUCAUGAUCGAGCGGCGGACGGGUGAGUAACACGUAGGCAACCUACCCUUGAGAUUGGGAUAACUACCGGAAACGGUAGCUAAUACCGGAUACGACUUUUCCACAUAAGUGGAAUGGUUAAAAGGCGGAUUUAUCUGCCGCUCAUGGAUGGGCCUGCGGUGCAUUAGCUAGUUGGUGAGGUAGUGGCUCACCAUGGCGACGAUGCAUAGCCGACCUGAGAGGGUGAUCGGCCACACUGGGACUGAGACGCGGCCCAGACUCCUACGGGAGGCAGCAGUAGGGAAUCUUCCGCAAUGGACGCAAGUCUGACGGAGCAACGCCGCGUAAGUGAUGAAGGGUUUCGGCUCGUAAAACUCUGUUGUUAAGGAAGAACACUUGAGGUAGUAACUGGCCUUGAGAUGACGGUACUUAACCAGAAAGCCACGGCUAACUACGUGCCAGCAGCCGCCGUAA
rnacentral:rRNA from 1 species